UACAGAGGUCCCAAGCGUUGUUCGGAUUCACUGGGCGUAAAGGGUGCGUAGGCGGUCGGGUAAGUCUGAUGUGAAAUCUCCAAGCCUAACUUGGAAACUGCAUUGGAUACUGUCCGGCUAGAGGAAUGGAGGGGAGACUGGAAUACUUGGUGUAGCAGUGAAAUGCGUAGAUAUCAAGUGGAACACCAGUGGCGAAGGCGAGUCUCUGGACAUUUCCUGACGCUGAGGCACGAAAGCCAGGGGAGCAAACGGG
rnacentral:rRNA from 1 species